CCCGGUGGCCUAGUCUGGAUAGGGCGCGAGGCUGCGGACCUCGAGGUCCGGGGUUCAAAUCCCCGCCGGGGCGCCAUU
rnacentral:tRNA from 1 species